CCUACGGGAGGCAGCAGUGAGGAAUAUUGGUCAAUGGCCGGAAGGCUGCACCAGCCAAGCCGCGUGAGGGAGGAAGGCGCAGAGCGUCGCAGACCUCUUUUGCCGGGGGACAAAAGGCCGGACGGGUCCGGUUCUGAGGGUACCCGGAGAAAAAGCAUCGGCUAACUCCGUGCCAGCAGCCGCGGUAAUACGGAGGAUGCGAGCGUUAUCCGGAUUUAUUGGGUUUAAAGGGUGCGUAGGCGGACGCUUAAGUCAGCGGUAAAAUUGCGGGGCUCAACCUCGUCGAGCCGUUGAAACUGGGUGCCUUGAGUGGGCGAGAAGUACGCGGAAUGCGUGGUGUAGCGGUGAAAUGCAUAGAUAUCACGCAGAACUCCGAUUGCGAAGGCAGCGUACCGGCGCCCAACUGACGCUGAAGCACGAAGGCGUGGGUAUCGAACAGGAUUAGAUACCCGAGUAGUC
rnacentral:rRNA from 1 species